rnacentral:rRNA from 1 species
UACAGAGGAUGCAAGCGUUAUCCGGAAUUACUGGGCGUAAAGCGCGUGUAGGCGGUCUUAAAAGUCAGGUGUGAAAGCCCCGGGCUCAACCCGGGAAGUGCACUUGAAACUGCAAGGCUAGAGUACUGGAGAGGUUGGUGGAAUUCUCGGUGUAGAGGUGAAAUUCGUAGAUAUCGAGAGGAACACCGGUGGCGAAGGCGGCCAACUGGACAGAUACUGACGCUGAGACUCGAAAGCGUGGGGAGCAAACAGG